rnacentral:rRNA from 1 species
UACGAAGGGAGCUAGCGUUGUUCGGAAUCACUGGGCGUAAAGCGCACGUAGGCGGACUGUUAAGUCGGGGGUGAAAUCCUGGAGCUCAACUCCAGAACUGCCUUCGAUACUGGCGAUCUCGAGUUCGGGAGAGGUGAGUGGAACUGCGAGUGUAGAGGUGAAAUUCGUAGAUAUUCGCAGGAACACCAGUGGCGAAGGCGGCUCACUGGCCCGAUACUGACGCUGAGGUGCGAAAGCGUGGGGAGCAAACAGG